rnacentral:rRNA from 1 species
GACGAACGCUGGCGGCGUGCUUAACACAUGCAAGUCGAACGGAAAGGCCCUGCUUUUGGGGUGUUCUCGAGUGGCGAACGGGUGUGUAACACGUGAGUAACCUGCCCGUGACUUUGGGAUAACUUCAGGAAACUGGGGCUAAUACCGGAUAGGAGCUCCUGCUGCAUGGUGGGGUGUGGAAAGUUUCGGCGGUUGGGGAUGGACUCGCGGCUUAUCAGCUUGUUGGUGGGGUAGUGGCUUACCAAGGCUUUGACGGGUAGCCGGCCUGAGAGGGUGACCGGCCACAUUGGGACUGAGAUACGGCCCAGACUCCUACGGGAGGCAGCAGUGGGGAAUAUUGCACAAUGGGCGGAAACCUGAUGCAGCAACGCCGCGUGCGGGAUGACGGCCUUCGGGUUGUAAACCGCUUUCGCCUGUGACGAAGCGUGAGUGACGGUAAUGGGUAAAGAAGCCCCGGCUAACUACGUG